GAUCCUGGCUCAGGAUGAACGCUGCGGCGUGCUUAACACAUGCAAGUCGAACGAAGCACUCUAUUUGAUUUUCUUCGGAAAUGAAGAUUUUGUGACUGAGUGGCGGACGGGUGAGUAACGCGUGGGUAACCUGCCUCAUACAGGGGGAUAACAGUUGGAAACGACUGCUAAUACCGCAUAAGCGCACAGGAUCGCAUGAUCCGGUGUGAAAAACUACGGUGGUAUGAGAUGGACCCGCG
rnacentral:rRNA from 1 species